rnacentral:rRNA from 1 species
UACGUAGGGGGCAAGCGUUGUCCGGAAUCAUUGGGCGUAAAGAGCGCGUAGGCGGCCCUGUAAGUCCGCUGUGAAAGUCAAGGGCUCAACCCUUGAAUGCCGGUGGAUACUGCAGGGCUAGAGUCCGGAAGAGGCGAGUGGAAUUCCUGGUGUAGCGGUGAAAUGCGCAGAUAUCAGGAGGAACAGCCGAUGGCGAAGGCAGCUCGCUGGGACGGUACUGACGCUGAGGCGCGAAGCGUG